rnacentral:rRNA from 1 species
AUAAUGGGUCAGCGACUUAUAUUCUGUAGCAAGGUUAACCGAAUAGGGGAGCCGAAGGGAAACCGAGUCUUAACUGGGCGUUAAGUUGCAGGGUAUAGACCCGAAACCCGGUGAUCUAGCCAUGGGCAGGUUGAAGGUUGGGUAACACUAACUGGAGGACCGAACCGACUAAUGUUGAAAAAUUAGCGGAUGACUUGUGGCUGGGGGUGAAAGGCCAAUCAAACCGGGAGAUAGCUGGUUCUCCCCGAAAGCUAUUUAGGUAGCGCCUCGUGAAUUCAUCUCCGGGGGUAGAGCACUGUUUCGGCAAGGGGGUCAUCCCGACUUACCAACCCGAUGCAAACUGCGAAUACCGGAGAAUGUUAUCACGGGAGACACACGGCGGGUGCUAACGUCCGUCGUGAAGAGGGAAACAACCCAGACCGCCAGCUAAGGUCCCAAAGUCAUGGUUAAGUGGGAAACGAUGUGGGAAGGCCCAGACAGCCAGGAUGUUGGCUUAGAAGCAGCCAUCAUUUAAAGAAAGCGUAAUAGCUCACUGGUCGAGUCGGCCUGCGCGGAAGAUGUAACGGGGCUAAACCAUGCACCGAAGCUGCGGCAGCGACACUAUGUGUUGUUGGGUAGGGGAGCGUUCUGUAAGCCUGUGAAGGUG